AGCGAACGCUGGCGGCAGGCCUAACACAUGCAAGUCGAACGGACCUUUCGGGGUUAGUGGCGGACGGGUGAGUAACACGUGGGAACGUGCCUUUAGGUUCGGAAUAGCUCCUGGAAACGGGUGGUAAUGCCGAAUGUGCCCUUAGGGGGAAAGAUUUAUCGCCUUUAGAGCGGCCCGCGUCUGAUUAGCUAGUUGGUGAGGUAAUGGCUCACCAAGGCUACGAUCAGUAGCUGGUCUGAGAGGAUGACCAGCCACAUUGGGACUGAGACACGGCCCAAACUCCUACGGGAGGCAGCAGUGGGGAAUCUUGCGCAAUGGGCGAAAGCCUGACGCAGUCAUGCCGCGUGGAUGAUGAAGGUCUUAGGAUUGUAAAAUCCUUUCACCGGUGAAGAUAAUGACUGUAGCCGGAGAAGAAGCCCCGGCUAACUUCGUGCCAGCAGCAGCCGCAG
rnacentral:rRNA from 1 species